rnacentral:rRNA from 1 species
GGGAAGGGCGGAGCGGCGGGGGGUGUAAAACGUAGGCGGCAAGGGGUUUCCGGAGUUAGUGGGCGUAGAGGGGUCGGAGGAGGUCUGUUACGUCUGCUGUGGAGGCCCGUGGGUUAUGCAUGGGCUUGCAGUGGAUACGGGCAGACUAGAGGCAGGUAGGGGAGAAGGGAAUUCCCGGUGUAGCGGUGAAAUGCGCAGAUAUCGGGAGGAACACCGGUGGCGAAGGCGGUUCUCUGGGCCUGACCUGACGCUGAGGAGCGAAAGCGUGGGGAGCGAACAGGAUUAGAUACCCGGGUAGUC